GGUGCAUUAGUGUAGAGGUUAACACACUUGGCUGUCUACCAAGUAGCACGGGUUCGAAUCCCGUAUGCACCGCCA
rnacentral:tRNA from 2 species